UAGAGUUUGAUCCUGGCUCAGGGUGAACGCUGGCGGCGUGCCUAACACAUGCAAGUCGAGCGCCGAACUCGCUUAAAUUGGUUUUCGGAUCAGUGGCGGUGAGGGAAAGCGGCGGACGGGUGAGUAACGCUUGGGCAACCUACCUCCUGGAUUGGGACAACCCGCCGAAAGGCGGGCUAAUACCGAAUAUUCUUCCCCGGUGAUUCAUCGGGGAAGGAAAGAUCUGCCGCAAGGCAGAUUGCCGGGGGAUGGGCCUGAGUCCUAUCAGCUUGUUGGCGGGGUAACGGCCCACCAAGGCGAAGACGGGUAGCUGGUCUGAGAGGACGACCAGCCACAAGGGGAUUGAGAGACGGCCCCUACUCCUACGGGAGGCAGCAGUGAGGAAUCUUGGACAAUGCCCGAAAGGGUGAUCCAGCGACGCCGCGUGAGUGAUGAAGGCCUUCGGGUCUUAAAACUCUGUCGAGCGGGAAGAAAUCAGCUCAAACUGAUGACGGUACCGCUAAAGGAAGCCCCGGCUAAUCCCGUGCCAGCAGCCGCGGUAAGACGGGAGGGGCGAGCGUUACCCGGAAUUACUGGGUGUGAAGGGUCUGCAGGCGGUUGGAUGUGUCGGUCUUGAAAUACUCUGGCUCAACCAGAGAAUAGGGGCCGAAACUAUCCGACUUGGAGUCCGGGGGAGGAAAACGGAACUGCCGGUGUAGCGGUGAAAUGCGUAGAUAUCGGCAGGAACACCAGUGGCGAAGGCGGUUUUCUACUUCGGAACUGACGCUGAGGGACGAAAGCGUGGGGAGCGAUCGGGAUUAGAUACCCCGGUAGUCCACGCCCUAAACGAUGGGUGCUGGGUGUUGGUCCGGUAAAGCGGAUCGGUGCCGAAGCUAACGCGUUAAGCACCCCACCUGGGGACUACGGCCGCAAGGUUGAAACCCAAAGGAAUUGACGGGGGCCCGCACAACCGGUGGAGUAUGUGGUUCAAUUCGAUGAUACGCGAGGAACCUUACCUGGGCUUGACAUGCUGGUAGUAGGACCCCGAAAGAGGGACGAUCCGUCGUAAGACGGAAGCCAGUACAGGUGGUGCAUGGCUGUCGUCAGCUCGUGCCGUGAGGUGUUGGGUUAAGUCCCGGAACGAGCGCAACCCUUGCUCGUAGUUACUCGCCCUAAAGGCAGCACUCUACGAGGACUGCCGUGGUUAACACGGAGGAAGGUGGGGACGACGUCAAGUCAGCACGCCCCUUAUGUCCAGGGCUACACACGUACUACAAUGGUCGGUACAGAGGGAAGCGAAGCCGCGAGGUGGAGCAAAUCUCAAAAAACCGGCCCCAGUUCAGAUUGCAGGCUGAAACCCGCCUGCAUGAAGCUGGAAUCGGUAGUAAUCGCGGAUCAGCCAAGCCGCGGUGAAUACGUUCUCGGGCCUUGUACACACCGCCCGUCACGCCAACUGAGUCGAGGAUACCUAAAGCCACUUUUUCCAAUCCGCCGCAAGGUGGAAGGAUGGUGCCUAAGGUAUGCUUGGUAAGGAGGGCGAAGUCGUAACAAGGUAACC
rnacentral:rRNA from 1 species